rnacentral:rRNA from 1 species
AACGAACGCUGGCGGCGCGCCUAAUACAUGCAAGUCGAGCGAGAAGACGUAGCAAUACGUUUGUAAAGCGGCGAACGGGUGAGGAAUGCAUGGGUAACCUACCCUCGAGUGGGGAAUAACUAGCCGAAGGUUAGCUAAUACCGCGUACGCUCCUUGGACUUCGGUUCAGGGAGGAAAGCGAUACCGUGGGUAUCGCGCUCUUGGAUGGGCUCAUGUCCUAUCAGCUUGUUGGUGAGGAACGGCUCACCAAGGCUUCGACGGGUAGCUGGUCUGAGAGGACGAUCAGCCACACUGGCACUGCGACACGGGCCAGACUCCUACGGGAGGCAGCAGUAAGGAUAUUGCGCAAUGGGCGAAAGCCUGACGCAGCGACGCCGCGUGGGGGAGUGAAGGU